rnacentral:lncRNA from 1 species
AGAAUUUCAGGAAGACACUGAUAAGAACUUGUUUCUCUUGUCCCUGUUUUUGGAACCCAUUUCUUCAGGGCCCCUACCUGGCCUUGCAGGUAAUGUUAUCACAGCUGUAGCUGGACUUUGGAGUGAGUCAGCCUGGUCAGGGAAGGACUUGUUUUUCUUUUUACUUGUUUUUCUUAUAUUUCCUGCUUCAUGAGCAAGAAACAACAAGCUUUACCUUCACAGUAGAAGAGUCCAGCAGAACAAAGUUGGAAGCAGAGGGAGUGAAUCUAAACCUAUGGACAGAUUCAUCUUGGAAACCCUAAGUGAGGCUAAAGGGAGAAAACAAAUUGGAAGGAGAUUUAAAGGAUUCUCAAAUACAAACUGAAGUUUUCAAGAACAGGAUCAUGAAGGACAGUAAAAAUCAGGAAUUGCCAAACUUUGUCACAAUGGCUGUACAACAUCAGUGAGCCGAAGUCAUACCACUGCAUUACAGCCCGGGCGACAGAGAAAGACUCCAUCUC